rnacentral:rRNA from 1 species
CCAGACUCCUACGGGAGGCAGCAGUGGGGGAUAUUGCACAAUGGGGGAAACCCUGAUGCAGCGACGCCGCGUGAGUGAAGAAGUAUUUCGGUAUGUAAAGCUCUAUCAGCAGGGAAGAAAAUGACGGUACCUGAUUAAGAAGCCCCGGCUAACUACGUGCCAGCAGCCGCGGUAAUACGUAGGGGGCAAGCGUUAUCCGGAUUUACUGGGUGUAAAGGGAGCGUAGACGGCAGCACAAGUCUGGAGUGAAAAUUAUGGGCUCAACCCAUAACCUGCUUUUGAAACUGUUUUUCUUGAGUGAAGCAGAGGCAAGCGGAAUUCCUAGUGUAGCGGUGAAAUGCGUAGAUAUUAGGAGGAACACCAGUUGCGAAGGCGGCUUACUGAACUGCAACUGACGUUGAUGCUCGAAAGCGUGGGGAGCAAACAGGAUUAGAUACCCCAGUA